AUGUGUGUGAGUGUGUGCGCCGGCGGGUGCGCGCUCCGGGCCGCGCGCGCGCGUGUUGUUGGCGCUGCGCACUGUACACACGCGGCGCGCGGGGCCGCCUCUCCCGCGAGGGGCGGGGGGAGGGGGCGCCGCCGAGGACUCCCGAAGUGCGGCUGGGCCACUUGUUUGUUUGGUUUCACUUUGCCUCGUUGGUGCCGGUGGUCGUCGUCGCUCCCCCAAAGUGCUUUUGGAAGCGGCCGGCCUGAAUGCUGGCGCCCCCCCUCCCCUCCCUCGCUCCCCCCGGUGCCCCCAACUUCUCGACGCGAGGCGGGGCGGGGAUGUCGCCGGGCUCCGCGGCGGAGCCUCCUGGCUGACGUCAGGUCCACCUGCUAUGUAAACAAGUCGCCCGAGAACUUGUUUGUUCGGCGCCGGGCUCCCGCCACCCCCACCGUCCUCCCCACCUCCAGCUCCGCCUCCUCCCGCUCGGCCCAGACGGCGCGGCGAGGGAGGGGGUGGGGAGGGAGGAGAGAACAAAACCGUAUGCUGUAUUGGCAGCGCCGAGUUGUGUCUGCUGCUUCUUGGCAGUCCCCAAAAUGGGAGCAGUCCCGAAAAAAAAAAGGAAAAAAAAUCACAAACGCGAGACCCGAAGGGCCCUGCCUCGCCCUCCCGACACGUUGGGGAUCAUUUCAGGUGAAGUGACUUGCGUGUGGGCUUCGCGGACGAGGCCAAGGAAAAAGCGGACUCUCCGAAUUAGCCCGCGACUGGUUUGGGACGAGAAAAGGGCGAACGGCGUCGCAGUCCCGGGAGGCCCGGGGCCGAGCCUUCCCGCCGGGUGUGCCCCCCGGGGGGCAGGCAGGUCCCGGAGCCCCGCUGCGCCCCGUCCUCCCGCGCGCCCGGGCCCAGCCCGUCGGCUCUGCGCUGUGUGUCCCCCGGGGUCCCUGGGACCCGAGCGCGCCGAGGCCCAUCCCGGAGGCGGCGGGGCCGCUCGGAGGGGGGACAAGUUCAAGUCCCCAACGCGGGGCAGGAGGGUCAGGCUCUCCGGCCGCGGAGAGGCGCGGGUUUGGUUAGCCUCUCACUUUUCUGUACCCAGAGCCACGUUUUGGGGUGAGAUUCGCAGCCUCUGACGUUUGUGUCUCGUGAGUACAAGUAGCCGGGAGCCAAGAGGUGCAGAAGCAGAUGUCUGUCUGUCUGUCUGUCUGUCUGUCGGAGCGCCUCUUCCCACCUGGGCCGCGCGCCCUCGCCGGGCGUCCGGGCCGAGCGCGGCUGAGCCCGCGGCCCCCCCUGCUCCCCCGGGGUGGGGUGGGGGGGACCCCGCCUAACUUCGCCCCAUUAUCUCGUCUCCUGCUGCCAUUUCCCGGGCCACCAACCCUCCUUCCCGCAGGGAAGACGCCCCGCGCCUUGAGAAAGCAGGUCCCGCCGGAGCCGC
rnacentral:lncRNA from 1 species